AGCUGCACUUCCUCUCCAACGUUAGCGCUGCCUUCAGCUGGAGCUUACACUGGGAAAGCGAAGGUUAUUGGCUACACUGCUCAGCGGAUGAGAAGGGAUCAACCCUAGAGAGAGGGAAUAUACCUUCAGAUCUACUGUGAUUCUGCUGAAUGACCAUGAGGUCCAAAUGACACCGCCCACUCCUUAGUGUCCGCAGCCUGCGCUCGGCCAGUAAUAUGGAUGUGACAGUAACGCAGACCUGAUGGUUUGGAACCGGAUCCCGCUGGAGUCAGUCGCUACCUCGGCGCCGUGUGGCAGACAGACAAAGUCAGCACCUAGCUGAAAUGCUGCAGAAGGAAGAGGAGGAGACGGGCAGAAUUGGGAUGGCUUCAAACUCUCCCUGAAUUCAUCUCCAGCGCCGGAUUUCAGCGAUCUGAGCGAGCUGCGCCGGCGGAUCCACGCCACGUCACCUACACUGAAAAUCCCGGAGUCCAUGAUGAAGGCAAAUGAAAAGAGGUAAUAUAAAAAAAAUCAAUAUAAUCAUGUGCAUAAUCAC